GAUGAACGCUAGCGGGAGGCUUAAUACAUGCAAGUCGAGCGGGAUUCUCCUUCGGGAGAUGAGAGCGGCGCACGGGUGAGUAACGCGUACGUAACCUGCCUUACAGAGGGGAAUAGCCCUGGGAAACUGGGAUUAAUACUCCAUAGUAUAUAGAUGGCGCAUGCUGUUUAUAUUAAAGUUGAGGCGCUGUAAGAUGGGCGUGCGUGCUAUUAGCUAGUUGGUGAGGUAACGGCUCACCAAGGCUACGAUAGCUAGGGGGCGUGAGAGCGUGGCCCCCCACACGGGUACUGAGACACGGACCCGACUCCUACGGGAGGCAGCAGUAAGGAAUAUUGGACAAUGGACGCAAGUCUGAUCCAGCCAUGCCGCGUGAAGGAUUAAGGGUCCUCUGGAUUGUAAACUUNUUUAUAAGGGACGAAAAAAGGUCUUUCUAGAUCGUCUGACGGUACCUUAUGAAUAAGCAACCGGCUAAACUCCCGUAGCCCAGCCAGCCGCGGU
rnacentral:rRNA from 1 species